rnacentral:rRNA from 1 species
GACGAACGCUGGCGGCGUGCUUAACACAUGCAAGUCGAGCGAGUGAGUUCUUCGGAACAAUCUAGCGGCGGACGGGUGAGUAACACGUGGGCAACCUGCCUCAUAGAGGGGAAUAGCCUCCCGAAAGGGAGAUUAAUACCGCAUAAAAUUAUCGAGUGGCAUCACAUGAUAAUCAAAGGAGCAAUCCGCUAUGAGAUGGGCCCGCGGCGCAUUAGCUAGUUGGUGAGGUAACGGCUCACCAAGGCGACGAUGCGUAGCCGACCUGAGAGGGUGAUCGGCCACAUUGGGACUGAGACACGGCCCAGACUCCUACGGGAGGCAGCAGUGGGGAAUAUUGCACAAUGGGGGAAACCCUGAUGCAGCAACGCCGCGUGAGUGAUGACGGCCUUCGGGUUGUAAAGCUCUGUCUUUGGGGACGAUAAUGACGGUACCCAAGGAGGAAGUCACGGCUAACUACGUGCCAGCCGCCGCGGUAA